UGGGGAAUCUUAGACAAUGGGCGCAAGCCUGAUCUAGCCAUGCCGCGUGAGUGAUGAAGGCCUUAGGGUCGUAAAGCUCUUUCGCCUGUGAAGAUAAUGACUGUAGCAGGUAAAGAAACCCCGGCUAACUCCGUGCCAGCAGCCGCGGUAAUACGGAGGGGGUUAGCGUUGUUCGGAAUUACUGGGCGUAAAGCGCGCGUAGGCGGACAUUUAAGUCAGAGGUGAAAUCCCAGGGCUCAACCCUGGAACUGCCUUUGAUACUGGGUGUCUUGAGUUCGAGAGAGGUGAGUGGAAUUCCGAGUGUAGAGGUGAAAUUCGUAGAUAUUCGGAGGAACACCAGUGGCGAAGGCGGCUCACUGGCUCGAUACUGACGCUGAGGUGCGAAAGUGUGGGGAGCAAACAGGAUUAGAUACCCUGGUAGUCCACACCGUAAACGAUGAAUGCCAGUCGUCGGGCAGUAUACUGUUCGGUGACACACCUAACGGAUUAAGCAUUCCNCCUGGGGAGUACRGUCGCAAGAUUA
rnacentral:rRNA from 1 species